rnacentral:rRNA from 1 species
AAUGGGCAACGGUAGGUCAGUAUGCCCCGAACUAUCCCGGGCUACACGCGAGCUACAAUGGUUGGUACAAUGGGUAUCUACCCCGAAAGGGGACGGGAAUCUCCUAAACCAAUCUUAGUUCGGAUUGAGGGCUGCAACUCGCCCUCAUGAAGCUGGAAUCCGUAGUAAUCGCGUUUCAACAGAACGCGGUGAAUACGUCCCUGCUCCUU